CACGUGAGCAACCUGCCCCUGACUCUGGGAUAAGCGCUGGAAACGGCGUCUAAUACUGGAUAUGUCCCAUCACCAAAUGGUGUGUGGGUGGAAAGAUUUUUCGGUUGGGGAUGGGCUCGCGGCCUAUCAGCUUGUUGGUGAGGUAAUGGCUCACCAAGGCGUCGACGGGUAGCCGGCCUGAGAGGGUGACCGGCCACACUGGGACUGAGACACGGCCCAGACUCCUACGGGAGGCAGCAGUGGGGAAUAUUGCACAAUGGGCGGAAGCCUGAUGCAGCAACGCCGCGUGAGGGAUGACGGCCUUCGGGUUGUAAACCUCUUUUAGCAGGGAAGAAGCGAGAGUGACGGUACCUGCAGAAAAAGCACCGGCUAACUACGUGCCAGCAGCCGCGGUAAUACGUAGGGUGCAAGCGUUAUCCGGAAUUAUUGGGCGUAAAGAGCUCGUAGGCGGUCUGUCGCGUCUGCUGUGAAAUUCCGAGGCUCAACCUCGGGCUUGCAGUGGGUACGGGCAGACUAGAGUGCGGUAGGGGAGAUUGGAAUUCCUGGUGUAGCGGUGGAAUGCGCAGAUAUCAGGAGGAACACCGAUGGCGAAGGCAGAUCUCUGGGCCGUAACUGACGCUGAGGAGCGAAAGGGUGGGGAGCAAACAGGCUUAGAUACCCUGGUAGUCCACCCCGUAAACGUUGGGAACUAGUUGUGGGGUCCUUUCCACGGAUUCCGUGACGCAGCUAACGCAUUAAGUUCCCCGCCUGGGGAGUACGGCCGCAAGGCUAAAACUCAAAGGAAUUGACGGGGACCCGCACAAGCGGCGGAGCAUGCGGAUUAAUUCGAUGCAACGCGAAGAACCUUACCAAGGCUUGACAUACACGAGAACGGGCCAGAAAUGGUCAACUCUUUGGACACUCGUGAACAGGUGGUGCAUGGUUGUCGUCAGCUCGUGUCGUGAGAUGUUGGGUUAAGUCCCGCAACGAGCGCAACCCUCGUUCUAUGUUGCCAGCACGUAAUGGUGGGAACUCAUGGGAUACUGCCGGGGUCAACUCGGAGGAAGGUGGGGAUGACGUCAAAUCAUCAUGCCCCUUAUGUCUUGGGCUUCACGCAUGCUACAAUGGCCGGUACAAUGGGCUGCAAUACCGUGAGGUGGAGCGAAUCCCAAAAAGCCGGUCCCAGUUCGGAUUGAGGUCUGCAACUCGACCUCAUGAAGUCGGAGUCGCUAGUAAUCGCAGAUCAGCAACGCUGCGGUGAAUACGUUCCCGGGUCUUGUACACACCGCCCGU
rnacentral:rRNA from 1 species